AAUGAAUAUAAUUUGGAUCCACCCGCCUUCUCUCUCAUCUAAAAAAUCAGAAAUCCCGUUAAACUUCACUCAGCCCUCUUCCAUGGUCGCUGAACUUACUCAGCCGUUUCAUCCAUUUUUGCUCAAGAAUCAAAGAACGAAACCCUAAUUUUUUUUUUUACACUUCAAGUAGGAUCGAACCCUAAUUUCAUGCUGCAAUAGAUUGUAGUCGUCCUCUGAAUCCUCUUUUCUCUAUUGAAGCCGACCAAGCCGUACUCUGAAUUCUCCAUUGAAGCGCCUUUUGAUCUCAUAGAUGGUGGUGGUAGGCGUGUCAGCCUAGUCGUCAGAUUGAACCUUCAAUUCGACAUACUCAAUUCAAAGGUAAUCCUACAACUGAGCAUUUUCUGGGAAGGACGGAUGUGCAAUGCCUACAUCAGUGGCAAAAAGUUCUUAAUCCCGAACUGGUUAAAUGACCUUGGACAAAGGAGGAGGAUGAUUGUAUCAUUGAGAUGGUUCAGAAGCAUGGUUGCAGGAGCUGGUCUGUCAUUGCAAAGAGGUGGCCUGGUCGGAUAGGCAAGCAAUGUCAGGAGAGGUAUCUAUUUGACGAGUAUAUCUCGUUAUUUCAGCUAUCUAAUAUCACCUUUCUAUGCCCCGGGAGAAUUUCUGUUGCUGAAAAAAAGGAUAAAAGGAUUUUCACGAGGUAUACAUGGGAAGAGAUGCAUCAUACAAUGAUGGUGAGCUCAAUGAAAUUUGGGAGCAAUGGUCCAGGUUCUUUAGAAAUAAAUAUAUAUUGAAAGAUUAAUCUUAGUUUUAUUUAGAUUUUUAAGAUGGAAAUGUGUACUCAACUUUUAAUAUUUAUUUGAGAUUUUUUUUUUUGGUGAUUGUGAAGAUAACUGGUUAUUAAGACGAUGUUGGAUUAGUUCAAAUUACAAAGGAAACAAUGUCAAAUUUUGACAGGUUUGAUGUAUGAUUACAAGGACGACGUAUUGUAAUUUGACAGGUUGAUGAUUGAUUAUUAUCCCCAAAUUGAUUGGGGGAAUUAGUUCAAAUUACAAAGGAAAUUACAAA